rnacentral:tRNA from 1 species
GGAUGUAACUCAGUGGUACAGUGCUUGCCUAGCACACAUGAGGCCCUGGGUUCAAUCCCCUGCACCA